UACGGGGGGGGCAAGCGUUGUUCGGAAUUACUGGGCGUAAAGGGUUCGUAGGUGGCCAACUAAGUCAGACGUGAAAUCCCGGGGCUCAACCCCGGAACUGCCCUUGAAACUGCAGUGCUAGAAUUCUGGAGAGGCGAGUGGAAUUCCAGGUGUAGCGGUGAAAUGCGUAGAUAUCUGGAGGAACACCGGUGGCGAAGGCGGCAUCCUGGACCGGUAUUGACGCUGAGGCGCGAAAGCCAGGGGAGCAAACGGG
rnacentral:rRNA from 1 species